rnacentral:lncRNA from 1 species
AUUGUCCGAUUACUUAUUAAAGAGGAUAAUAAGGCUGCCGAGAGAAGGUCAAAAGGGAAUUCAACAAUUAAUGGAAGAUGACCAAAACAAUUCUAAGAAAAGAAAUAAAGUUGAACAAGGAAACAAUCUAAGAAGAAAUUCAAGGGAAAAUGCUUCAAUUGUGGCAAAAUUGGCCAUUAAACACGGAUUGUCGUUCCCCUAAGAAAGGCAA